rnacentral:rRNA from 1 species
UUAAAGAAAGCGUAAUAGCUCACUGGUCGAGUCGGCCUGCGCGGAAGAUGUAACGGGGCUAAGUAGUAAACCGAAGCUGCGGCAAUGUGCUUUUGCACAUUGGGUAGGGGAGCGUUCUGUAAGCGGUUGAAGGUGUGUGGUAACGCAUGCUGGACGUAUCAGAAGUGCGAAUGCUGACAUGAGUAACGAUAAAGGGGGUGAAAAACCUCCUCGCCGGAAGACCAAGGGUUCCUGUCCAACGUUAAUCGGGGCAGGGUAAGUCGACCCCUAAGGCGAGGCCGAAAGGCGUAGUCGAUGGGAAACGGGUUAAUAUUCCCGUACUUCUUACAAUUGCGAUGGGGGGACGGAGAAGGCUAGGUGGGCCUGGCGACGGUUGUCCAGGUUCAAGUGCGUAGGCUUAAGAGUUAGGUAAAUCCGGCUCUUU